CAUACCUAUUCGAAGGGAUAGGGUCGGUUCGUCCGGGUUUCACACAGGUGUUGCAUGGCUGUCGUCAGCUCGUGUCGUGAGAUGUUGGGUUAAGUCCCGCAACGAGCGCAACCCUCAUCCUUAGUUACCAUCAGGUAAUGCUGGGGACUUUAAGGAAACUGCCAGUGAUAAACUGGAGGAAGGUGGGGAUGAUGUCAAGUCAUCAUGGCCCUUAUGGAGUGGGCUACACACGUGCUACAAUGGUGGCUACAAUGGGCUGCAAAGUCGCGAGGCUAAGCUAAUCCCUUAAAAGCCAUCUCAGUUCGGAUUGUACUCUGCAACUCGAGUGCAUGAAGUUGGAAUCGCUAGUAAUCGUGGAUCAGCACGCCACGGUGAAUACGUUCUCGGGUCUUGUACACACUGCCCGUCACGCCAUGGGAAUUGGUUUCACUCGAAGCU
rnacentral:rRNA from 1 species